UACGUAGGGGGGCAAGCGUUGUCCGGAAUCAUUGGGCGUAAAGAGCGUGUAGGCGGCCCGAUAAGUCCGCUGUGAAAGUCCAGGGCUCAACCCUGGAAUGCCGGUGGAUACUGUCGGGCUCGAGUUCGGAAGAGGUGAGUGGAAUUCCUGGUGUAGCGGUGAAAUGCGCAGAUAUCGGGAGGAACACCAAUGGCGAAGGCAGCUCGCUGGGACGUUACUGACGCUGAGACGCGAAAGCGUGGGGAGCAAACAGG
rnacentral:rRNA from 1 species